rnacentral:piRNA from 1 species
UGGGGAAUCUACCUGUGGCCUUACCACGGA